AUCACCGAACUGUUUUGAAAGAUAAAAGUACUUCUUGAAUAUGUGGAUGGUGAGCCACGUGAAUGGAAGACAUGGAGAUACGGACUGUUAACACCUUGUCAAACAUUUAUUGUCCCUUCCACCUCUAAACUUCUGUGAUAAUAGGUGAACAGGACCCACGUGGUGCAGAAUACUGCGAUACACACUGUGGAAUAAUUCAGAACAACACGUGGAUUGCUCAGUACAACUUUUUCAUCACAUCCUCCUGUUCACUGAAGAAUUAUGGAAAUAUUCUCUGAGCUGCUUUCCUCCCUGCCCAACGAGUCAUCUCUGUGUGAAAGGCCAAGCUUAUAAAUCCUGGCAGGUCCCUGAUGCUGUUAUUCCUGACUGUGUGAGACCUCUGAACAGAGGGGAAGAAGCUGGCUGCAAUCUUUGCUGUUUCACGGCCUUCAUUUGUGAUACCUCCAGAAAACUGCAGCAGCCCUAUGAUAGAGUAGCCUGAUGGUUGAAAACAACAACAACAUCAACAAGAAAGACCCAACUAAAAUCUCAUUCAAAGAAGAAAGAGACAUUAUACAAAUGCGAGCUGUUGUCAC
rnacentral:lncRNA from 1 species